rnacentral:rRNA from 1 species
GAUGAACGCUGGCGGCGUGCCUAAUACAUGCAAGUCGAGCGAACGGACGAGAAGCUUGCUUCUCUGAUGUUAGCGGCGGACGGGUGAGUAACACGUGGAUAACCUACCUAUAAGACUGGGAUAACUUCGGGAAACCGUAGCUAAUACCGGAUAAUAUUUUGAACCGCAUGGUUCAAAAGUGAAAGACGGUCUUGCUGUCACUUAUAGAUGGAUCCGCGCUGCAUUAGCUAGUUGGUAAGGUAACGGCUUACCAAGGCAACGAUGCAUAGCCGACCUGAGAGGGUGAUCGGCCAUACUGGAACUGCGACACGGUCCAGACUCCUACGGGAGGCAGCAGUAGGGAAUCUUCCGCAAUGGGCGAAAGCCUGACGGAGCAACGCCGCGUGAGUGAUGAAGGUCUUCGGAUCGUAAAACUCUGUUAUUAGGGAAGAACAUAUGUGUAAGUAACUGUGCACAUCUUGACGGUACCUAAUCAGAAAGCCACGGCUAGCUACGUG